UUCCUCCAAAUCCCAGGUUCUCAUCAGAGCAGGUGCUGCCUGUUGAAGGUGAAGGAGAUCACUGCCGGCACUGCUGCCGAUGUUCCAGUUCUCCCCCAUCCUGUGUGUGGGGUGGGGUGAGCAGGGCUGGCUUUGCCCUUUGGCCUUCUUUCAGCCUGGUUUGCUGGUGCAGCAGUUUGCCUCCCUUCUGGGUUCAGUGUGAAGCAGUUCAUCCUUCCCAGCUGAAGUUCAAAAGGUUAAAAGUCUUUCGAGGACCAAAUGUCUUCCAAGGGAACAGAAAAGAAGGCUGUCCUGAGGUUGUCAGUCUGGCCUGACUCAGCACAGCUUGAGCCAGGAUAUUUGGGGUGGUUCUCUUCAAUUAGCUGGAUUCUGUUUUCAUUUCGACGUUAGGAGCGGAAGUUGCUGGGACAGAUUCUGGAAAUGGAGCCAGGGCUAUUUCUGUAUAAGGAGCCAGGAGCAUGGAAAGUUUAAGCAAGUUGCGCAAGGUCAUGGAGCUGAUGAGAGAGAGCUGGGAUUUGAAUUAAGGCAUGGUCUGUUUCCAUACUCCCUGCUCUCUAUCACUAAUUCCCCAUAACUCUAGAAAAUGAAACAGCUACAGAAGAAACAGAUGUCUGAGCUUGAGGACACCAAUUUCACAUUAUAGGAUCAGUGAAUUUGGAGAUAGGGAGCAGCUGGCUGAGGGAGGAGCGCCCCAGCAUCUGUAUUGAUGGAGAAGAAACCCGGCUGGGUCCAUGGGGACCCACAGCUGCCACCAUCAAAGCCUCAUCCAGCAUAGGCCGGAGCAAGGAAUACCUUUACAGGUAUAAAGUGCUGGAGUCGGCGUUAUGAUCACCGUGUCACUGAUGGGAAACGGAGCCUGCGUGGAGUGAAAUAACUUGCUCAUAGUGACACAGCACUGGGCCAGGAACCCUGCUGUCCUGCCUGGAGUCCAUGUCCCAUGCCCUGGAUCAGUGUGGACUGUAAAAGUGGUAUUUAUUAAUUUAUAUUUGAAUCAUGGCAUUGAAAAAGAAAACCGGCUGAUCCAGCAUUUUCCAAAAUGUAUCCUAAGACUCUAGGUCCUCAAGAUCCUUUGUGAAAAAUCUGCAAACUUUUGUUCCUCCCACAGAGGAUGUAGGGGAAGGAUCUAUCAGGAUCCUGAUAGAUCCACACACAUCUAUCAGGAUCUCUAAGUCCUACAGGAAGGGGGCCCAUUUAACUUCAUCGAGUCCUGUGUUUUCCUCUGGUUUUGAACUUUAGGAGGCCGCCCCCUUCCCUCCCUUUCUCCCUCCUUCUUUCCUUUCUAGUAGUAAACAUCCUGCAGUGGGAAAUUUGGAUGCCAUCCAAUUCCUUGGUAUCUUCCUUACAAGGAAGACCCUCAUUCACCAUUUUCAGACGAUGGCAUGGAGGGGAGAAGGGCCUAGGGCUGAAACCUCACUGCUAAAGACUCAGGCCUGGCAACAAAACCCUCCUGGGCUCUUGUGCUGGCUGGUCCUCUUGGGAAGGAUGGCUGGGCUCUAGAGGGGUGGGUGCCUGGGGUGUCGCUAGCAGGAUGGGCGUUCUGGGGGAAGGAGCCAACUCCCAUAGCUGGCAGCUGCCCUCCUGGAGCUGAGUGGAACAGUCUGUGGUUAAUUAUUUGCUUCUCCUGAACAGCGCUGCCUACCCCGACCCGCAGCUCCCUGAGCCUGAUUACAUUACCCCUUCCAGGCAGAUUUAUCUCAAACUUGUUUGAUGCCUCUCCAAAGAGCUCCAUCUGGUUCCCUCACUAUUCCUGACAGGUGGCUAACACAGCUCUCUGAAGCCCCCCAAACACCAGGAAGCAUCUUCUACAGAACUGACUUGGCUGUUAUGUCACAUUGCUGUCUCCCCAUCGUGUAUUUGCUACAACCACAGACAUUUGUAUGGAAAUGGAAUCAGUGUUUGUAAGGGCUCAUCUGCUCAGGCUGCCUUGUGAGCAGGCACUGGGGGACAAUCUGCCCAGCCAGCACCCACCCACGUGGCUCCGAGGCUCCUCAGGCAGGACUUCUCUAGCCUCUGAGGGUAGGGGACACCAUUGGGCUGGGAUUUAUGACCCGGGUGAGCCUUCCUGGGCCACAGGAGCAUCUGCUUCAACACUGCAGCAACGUCUCUCCAUCUCUUAGCCUAUGUCCAGAGUGGGGCUGUCCCUCGCCGGGCUGCGGGCUGUGCUGUGGAGCGCUUGGCCAGAGGGUGGGACCCUGCUGUGCCAGGAACAGUGGUGGGGAGGCCUGGGGCCACAGACUGUAACGGAGGCACAGAGGAGCCAUGUGCGGCACAUCAAGAGAGGAGUUAGGCACGAGUGCACCUUUUUCCAUCCAGAUACACCCUACAGGAGCGUGGACUCAGCGUUUACAGAGCACUUUCACCUCCCUUCAGAGUUUUUCUUCAGGACGGGAGUUACCGAGUAAAUGCCUGUGUCCUCACCAGAGUCAUCUGUUAGAGGCUAACCGCCAAUGCCAAGGCAUUAGGAAGUGGAGCCUGUGGGAGGUGAUGAGGGUUGAGGGGAGGGCAUGUGAGUGGGGCCCUCCUGAUGGGAUUAGCGCCCUUGUAAGGAGAGGAAGAGACACCAGAGCUUCCUCUCUCCGCCAUGUGAGGACCCAGCAAGAAGGCAGCAGCCUGCAAACCAGGAAGAGGGCCUCCUCAGAACUUGGCCAUGCUGGCAGCCUCCUCGGAGUCCCAGCCUCCACAGCUGGGAGAAACAAGCGUCUGUUGUUUAAGCCCCCAGGCUGUGGUGUUUUUUUACAGCAGCCUGAGCUGACUAAGACAAUGUGAGAGUUCAGCUUGCAGGAAGCGGAGGUUCAUCGGCUCCAGGUCACACAGUCUGGUCCUGCAGCUCCAAAUUCCAAACCCCUUGCUCAGUACCAGUGGGUCAGGGUCGGAGAAUUCCAAGGAAGGCCAGGCUGGGGAGGGGCCCCUGAGGGUGGGGAUGGGGGCAGUCCACCCUGGAGAUGGAGUCCUACUCUGCCACAUGGUUCAGAGCAGGCCCUGCCUUGGGGACCCUCCCCUCCAUCCCUUUCAGGCUGUAUGGUUUGGGGGCCCUCUACCUAUACCAACCCACCUUCGGGAGUGCAUUAGACCUAGGCCUGGCCAAGCCAGUAAACGCCUAUUGAGCACCUUCUACAUGGCAGGUGCUGUCCAAGUGCCUGGGAAAUAGCAGUGAAUAAAACAGGCAAAAAUCCCA